UACGAAGGGGGCUAGCGUUGCUCGGAAUUACUGGGCGUAAAGCGUGCGCAGGCGGUCUUUUAAGUCAGAUGUGAAAUCCCCGGGCUUAACCUGGGAACUGCGUUUGAAACUGAAAGGCUAGAGUGUGGCAGAGGGGGGUGGAAUUCCACGUGUAGCAGUGAAAUGCGUAGAGAUGUGGAGGAACACCGAUGGCGAAGGCAGCCCCCUGGGCUAACACUGACGCUCAUGCACGAAAGCGUGGGGAGCAAACAGG
rnacentral:rRNA from 1 species